AUGGUCCCGCCUUAUUCGCCCCAGGGUGUGUGCCUCGCAAGUCCCCGCCUGGUGAACCGUCGCCAGCUCCGGUGCGCGGGAGAGGCGUUGGCGGGUCCGACCCCGGGGGUCCGCGGCCAGGCCGGACGCCGGGCGUCUGCCGAGCCAGGCCCGAGCCCAGCCCCGGCCCGGCGCGUCCCGCGGGCUCCGGGCACACGCCCCUCACCUGGGCGAGGCAGGGCGCGCAGGCGCUCAGCGCGGGGGCCGCGGCGGGAGCCUCAGCCCCGCGCCCGCCCGAGUUGGACAGUUCCGGGGCCGCACCCGGCCGAGCUGUCGCCGCCGCCGCCUGGGCUGCCGCAGACCGCGGGAGAGCGUCUGCGCGAAGCCCCAGCGCAGCCCCGGCGGGACCGCCGCCGCCGCCCGAGAGCGAGCAACAGCUUCUGGGCUGGAAGAGCCACUGCCCCCACGCACCAGCGGCCCGCGCGCGAAGGUAAUAAUUUUGAUCUCUCCAACCUAGAGUUUGAACUCACGUCUCCUGCAUUGCAGGCAGGUCUUUGCCAGCUGAGCCACAAGGGAAGCCCAAGAAUACUGGAGUGGGUAGCCUAUCCCUUCUCCAGCAGAUCUUCCCAACCCAGGAGUUGAACCAGAUUCUUCUGCAUUGCGGGUAAAUUCUUUCCCAGCUGAGCUAUCAGGGAAGCCCAUCAUAUAAUAAAUUUAAAUAUUAU
rnacentral:lncRNA from 1 species